GACAGAGGUGCCAAGCGUUAGGCGGAAUCACUGGGCUUAAAGCGUGUGUAGGCGGGUCGUUAAGUGUCUUGUGAAAUCCCCCGGCUCAACCGGGGAAUGGCUGGGCAUACUGGCGAUCUUGAGCAGUCUAGGGGCAGAUGGAACAGACGGUGGAGCGGUGAAAUGCGUAGAUAUCGCUUGGAACGCCGAAGGUGAAAACAGGCUGCUGGGGUUGCGCCGACGCUGAGACACGAAAGCCAGGGGAGCAAACGGG
rnacentral:rRNA from 1 species